AAUGGCGACCUCAGAGGCCUUCAGCCUCUCAAAGCGGUUACACUCGCUGCCACACCACUGAUAGACAUCCUGCAUGAGAUGGAAAGACAAGAAUUGGAUAUCAAAGUUAUUAUGUGCAGCCAAACUACUGAACUACUACCAGCUGACUACAAAGAGAGAUGGUUGCAAUGGCAGCAGAGAACUAAAGGAACUGUGUCUGUGUGCUGGCACUGGAGGAGAACUGGCAUGGAGAACUACAAACAUGCAGGGACUGGUGCCUGUCUCUUGUGGCCUGCAGGGGUAAUCCAGAUGUGAAUCAUGCAGUGGUUUCUUUUUUGUUAUGUAACUGAAAAUUUACAGUGCCUGAGAAGACUUUCCCUUCAAUUUUGGAGUAGCUAAAGUUGUAUGUCAUCGUUCGCUCUGUACUGGCCUGAAGUGAGCCUACAAUGAGAGCAGAGAGAGAACUGUGUGGUGGAGAGGAAUUUCACAACCUGGUCUCACUUUUAGAGAAGAAAUAUUCAGCGACUCAUACGGCAGAGGAUGUUUCAGCACUGAGAUCAGAUACCUAAUUUGAUCUAUACUCCCUUGAAAAACACAGCUAGAGUGAAAAUAAAGUUUUAACUGCUUUUGUUAGACAGAAUACAAAUAGAGUUUUAGUGCCUUUGUUUGGGUGUUUGUAUCAGUGGAAGUAUCACAAUGCAUGGAUGUUUAACAUUGUAUCAUGUAUGUGCAUGCAUGAUAUGUAUAUAGGCUUUGGGGGAACUGACUUUGGUUUGUAACUGACUACAAUAAGGAACAACUGUAUGUUUUCACACUUUAAGAUCCAAUACUUUAUUGCCAUUUAAACAAUAGGAAUUUUCUUUGGUGAGCUCAUAUAAUACAAAGCAGAAACCUCAGGACAUCACAUAACCACAAAGAGACAAGUGGUGAAACCGUUAAAUGGCAAUUGUUAAACAAUAAAACCUUGCAUAAAAUAACAAACAUGGACAAAAACAAGGAAUAGCAUUUAGGGAACAUGCUGCAAUAAAAUGGUUUCGGCUAUCAA